rnacentral:rRNA from 1 species
UACGGGGGGGGGCAAGCGUUGUUCGGAAUUACUGGGCGUAAAGGGUGCGUAGGCGGCUUUCUAAGUUGGAUGCGAAAAACUAUGGGCUCAACCCAUAGCCUGCAUCCAAAACUGGAGAGCUUGGGUUCUGGAGGGGGAAAGCGGAAUUCCUGGUGUAGCGGUGAAAUGCGUAGAUAUCAGGAGGAACACCGGUGGCGAAGGCGGCUUU